rnacentral:snRNA from 1 species
ACUCAUACCUUGUAGGGGAAAUAUCAUGUUGUAAAAAUGAUUUUCCCUGGGAGAGGCUCAUCCAUUGCACUUUGGGUGUGCUGUUGAUCCCUGGUGAUUUCCCCAAAUGUGGGGAACUCAACUACAUAAUUUGUGUUAAUGGGGGCAUUAUGUUUGUGAUUUCUCUG